UACGGGGGGGGCAAGCGUUGUUCGGAAUUACUGGGCGUAAAGGGCGCGUAGGCGGCCUGCUAAGUCGAACGUGAAAUCCCUGGGCUCAACCCAGGAACUGCGUCCGAGACUGAAAGGCUUGAAUCCGGGAGAGGGAUGUGGAAUUCCAGGUGUAGCGGUGAAAUGCGUAGAUAUCUGGAGGAACACCGGUGGCGAGGGCGGCAUCCUGGACCGGCAUUGACGCUGAGGCGCGAAAGCUAGGGGAGCAAACGGG
rnacentral:rRNA from 1 species